AAACCAACCGGGAUUGCCUCAGUAACGGCGAGUGAAGCGGCAAGAGCUCAAAUUUGAAAGCUGGCUCCUUCGGGGUCCGCAUUGUAAUUUGCAGAGGAUGCUUCGGGUGCGGCCCCUGUCUAAGUGCCCUGGAACGGGCCGUCAGAGAGGGUGAGAAUCCCGUCUGGGAUGGGGUGUCCGCGCCCGUGUGAAGCUCCUUCGACGAGUCGAGUUGUUUGGGAAUGCAGCUCUAAAUGGGUGGUAAAUUUCAUCUAAAGCUAAAUACUGGCCGGAGACCGAUAGCGCACAAGUAGAGUGAUCGAAAGAUGAAAAGCACUUUGAAAAGAGAGUUAAAAAGCACGUGAAAUUGUUGAAAGGGAAGCGCUUGCGACCAGACUCGCCUCCAGGGUUCAGCCGGCAUUCGUGCCGGUGUACUUCCCUGGGGGCGGGCCAGCGUCGGUUUGGGCGGCCGGUCAAAGGCUCCCGGAAUGUAGUGCCCUCCGGGGCACCUUAUAGCCGGGAGUGCAAUGCGGCCAGCCUGGACCGAGGAACGCGCUUCGGCACGGACGCUGGCAUAAUGGUCG
rnacentral:rRNA from 1 species